UUCAGGUAAUGUAAACAGACCUGCCUAACUACCCUCAAAAGUUCAAAAACUACUUAGGGAUGUCAAUCACAACCUUUGAUGAGCUGCUGGAUAUUUGAAGACCAAAGCUUGUUCGUGCACAGACUUUGAUAAGGUAUCCUGUUUCACCAGAGGAACGAUUGGAUCUAACUCUAAGAUUUUUAGCAACUGGACAGCCCUUUUCGUCACUGUGCUACCAAUUCCUUGUUGGUCGGUCUACUUGCGAGCAGAUUUGGUCAGACCUUCAUGACAUUGUUAUGCCAUGUCCAAAUGAGCAGCAAUGGCAGAAAAUUGCUAUUGAAUUCUACAUGAAAACUCAUUUUCCAAAUUGCUUGGGUGCAUUGGAUGGGAAACAUAUAAGAGUUGUCAUUCCACCAAAUAGUGGAUCAAAGUACUGGAACUAUAAAAAGUGUUUUUCAAUAGUCCUUCUAGCAGUUGUUGAUGGAAACUACUGUUAUUCAGUAAUAGAUGUUGGAGCCUAUGGAAGCACUGGAGAUUCCAGGGCAUUCAAAAAUUCAGUGCUAGGAGAAAAGUUGCAUGAUGGUUCACUAUCCCUUCCCCAGCCCAAUCCAUUACUUGGAACAACAGCACCAGAUUUGCCACUGGUGUUUGUAGGGGAUGAGGCCUAACAGAAAACCUUAUGAGGCCUUAUCCAAGAACUCAAAGAAGUAUAAUGAAAAGACUUUUUAACCAUAGACUUUCAAGAGCACGACGUAUGGUGGAAUGUGCAUUUGGAAUUCUUUCAAACGAGUGGAGAGUUUUUCACACUGCAAUUAACUUGGAGCCUGAUUUUGUGGCCAUCAUCGUAAAGGCAUGUUGCAUCCUUCACAAUUUGGUCCGUCAGCAUGAUGGUUACAUGUAUCAGGACACGCUUUCAGAUGACAUACCUGAUCUUGAAUGGGCAGCUGUGAGAGGUCCUGUUGGAGCGAUGAGAAUUCAUAGUUAUUUUAUGUCGCCAGAUGGAGCAGUACCAUGGCAGUUAAACUGCAUGGAAGCAUUUUGUUUUUCUUUGAAUACUGCACUUUGUCAUAUAAUUCAUAGUGAUGUGUGACUUGUUUAUACAAAUAUGAUUUCUUAUGGAGUUUCGUUUCACAAUAACCUUUUUUUGUAGCACUGCAGUUUCUUUGGGGGUAAACAAAAGAUAUUCUAUA